GACGAACGCUGGCGGCGUGCUUAACACAUGCAAGUCGAGCGAGAAACCUUCGGGUUUCUAGGGGUGGACGGGUGAGUAACACGUGGGUAACCUGCCUCAAAGAGGGGGAUAGCCUUCCGAAAGGAAGAUUAAUACCGCAUAAUAUUACAGUUUCGCAUGAAGCAGUAAUUAAAGGAGUAAUCCGCUUUGAGAUGGACCCGCGGCGCAUUAGUUAGUUGGAGAGGUAACGGCUCACCAAGGCAACGAUGCGUAGCCGACCUGAGAGGGUGAUCGGCCACAUUGGAACUGAGACACGGUCCAGACUCCUACGGGAGGCAGCAGUGGGGGAUAUUGCACAAUGGGCGAAAGCCUGAUGCAGCAACGCCGCGUGAGUGAUGAAGGUCUUCGGAUUGUAAAGCUCUGUCUUUUGGGACGAUAAUGACGGUACCAAAGGAGGAAGCCACGGCUAACUACGUGCCAGCCGCCGCCGUAA
rnacentral:rRNA from 1 species